CUUACAUUCGAAAUCGAGAAUAGAGGUAAUUGUGGCAAUUGGUUUCUAAUUUAUAAUGUGGAACUGUGAGGAAGAUUCGGUAACUUGAAAUUAGAAUUAGAGUAGAAUAACCACUUUUGCAAAAUGACAUCGGCAGGAACCCAAAACUCUCGAACAUCAUUCAUGCUUAAGGACUUAAGUACCCGUAGUGGAGAACCAUAAUCCAACCUCAACAAUCGCAAAGCUAAAGAGGGUUCGUUCGGUAUUAUGAAGGAAAGUGCAGGAGAACAGCUACCAUGAAUCAUUUCGCCUGGGGAAGUCACUGUCCUAUAAAAAUGAUCUCCCUGGCGGGAUGAAGUGUGGGAGCAUCUUAAUCAAAUAGAAUUUCCCUGUCCAAGGUGAGAGUCCAGGGCAUUCAAAUUGAUUCGAGGCUAUUUUUAAACAGAGAAUAUAGAAAGGGAGAGCUUCAACAACUCAGGACCCAGUAGUCGUACAUGUCGAAAAGUGUCUCUACUGUUUGAGUUCGAGAGAUAGGUAUCUAGCAUUUAUGUUCACUAGUUUUUUGAUUUCUUAUUUUUAUUAACAGUUCUGUGAAAAAAUGACACAACGUAUUCAAUGUAGUUUAAAACUAUUUUGUGAUUCAUGGCGAAAAUGUGCUUUUUCAUGUUCAAAAUUAUUUGGUUCAAAAUGAUGGGAAAUACGAAAGAUAUAUGUACGUUUUGAGUACAAAUGCGAUAUCUACUUUUUUAUCUCUAUUUUUGUAUAUAACAUACUGCAAGCCAGCGGGGCAGGGGUUUGUAGCAGUUACGCCAAUGAAACUACAGUCGAAUGGAUCACGAUCAAAGAAUCGAACCCUAGCCGCCCGAGUGCAAUCCGGGUAUCCUUACCACUAGACCAUUGUCGCACACAUUAAUUCGUGGCUGAACUACAAACGCCAACCUAACACCACCGCGACAACAACGAGUACCACGUCACCGCCACCUACUCCAGCAAGUACAUCCGGCCGUCGGCGUCGGCGGGACCUGUCACCUCGCUCGACUCGGCCCCGCUAUCAACCCCUGCCACAGGGACUUUUUUGCGACACCUGACCCGCCAUCGGCCGAACUUCCGCAAUAAAGGGGUCGGUAUAAAUACGGAAACCCAAAUGCCAAGAAGCCACGUCUGUGUCGUUCAGACCAGACCACCUGCAUCGGCUUCUACCUACUGAUCCGGAACAAAGAUCACAAAACCUUCCCCAUAAAUUUCAUUUAGUAUACAAAGAUAUAAGUAUUUAAUGGCGACAUGUUUCGGAAAAUGCCAUCAUCAGGUCAACAUAGAGAUCGACCGAAAACGGUACAUGGUUGAAUUCCAUAAAAUUUAAAAGGUACAAAAACCCUGAAGGGGAAAAAGUCCUAGACAAGUUAAGGGUCUACAACCCUGAAGGGAGGAGUCGACAGAGAAAAAUUGGGGAUUAUUCCAUAAUAUUUAAUAAAAAAUUUAAAAAACGCGUACCCAGUAGGUAGAACUUGUUGAGUAUCCAUUCUCCUAGGGAAGCUCGAAAUGGGGUAAAUGAUAAUCCGGAACAAAGAUCACAAAUAUUGAAAAAAAACGACCGAAGACGCCAUAACUGUAAAAGCCGGUAAUUAAAUUGACUUACAAACGGCGAUGGAUUAAGAUGACAAUCAAGUCAUGUGAUUGUGAACUGCAGUUUUGUACCCCGAUGCGUUAGUGGUGCUAAAAACCACCUAGCGUCGGAUUGCAGCAGCAAGCUAUAGAAGAAAGAGCCACAACAUCAAACUCUCCAUUAACAGCACCUGUCGCACAACCAACCCGGAUGAGCUCUAGCCGAACCGCAGCGCUACAGAAUCAUGUCCCUUCUAGCUCUGUGUAAGAUCUUCGAAAAGGUGCUACUGGCGAAACUGCAACCCAACAUAAAACCUGGGAAGUUCGGGUUUCGUAGACAACAUGCUACAACCCUACAAGUUAUCCGUCUUGUUGCUCUGAAGUCUACAACAGAGCCCAGGUCACCGUAGCUCCGUCGUUUGAUAACGAAAAGGCAUGGCCUGCUAGGCAAGAUACAUCAUACCCAGUCACCCACUCAGUUUCUAGACUGAUCAGAAUAGAAAACCAAUUGUCGAAUGAAACACCUGCCGUCACUGGAGUGCCACAAGGAGGGAGUCUAUCGCCAACAUUGUUUAACAUGUACGUGAACGACAUCCCACAAGCCCCCAACGUCGGCAUUGCUCUGCACGCUGACGCCCUCCGCGUAGACGCUACGUUGUACAACCCGUUGGUGGCUUAAACUAAACGCAUCUAAGACCCAUUCAUUUCAGUUUCUGGAUUCUGUGCCUACAAACCCCAAUGGUGACUGGGAUCAGAAAAUCGCAUGGCUCCAAGAAAAACGGGCACCCUACCUACCAUAAGGAGGAACAAGAUAUACCAAUAACAACAAGCUUUAAGCAGUAGAAACUUUAUAGCUAGUGCUGCUGGAAUAUGGAUGGCCAGUUGCGGCCAUCUAGCUCACCAAUCGACGCCUACCUGUGUAUAUUUGUACAUAAUGUACAACAUGUAUUAUAGUGUUAGGUUUCGUUGUUAAUAAACGCCUUCGUCGUUAAUUGU